AAUGGAACUUCCUUCCAUGUAAAUAUACUUAAGUUUGAAGCCGAAAAGGAAACUUGGAUUCUUAUGGAAGGAGGUUUACUGGAUUAAGAGGGGAAAUGGCAAGCUUAAGAAACUGGAAGAUACUUCUAAACAGCUUAGUGAUUGGCUGAUCUACCCUGAGACUCAAGAGAAAUGGACAAAAGAAGCACAUCACUUCCCUGCUUAAUAUGGCCAACGGUCAAAUUCAAAGAUUCUAAAAGCAAACACAGGAACUCAUCACUUUGGCUUCAUGAUUCCUGCAUUGAGGAAAGGCAAGGAGCCACCCUCCCCAUGUUUCUCCUCCACUAUAUCACCGUAUGUGGUCCAUGCUGAAACUCUGCUUGUACUACUGAUAUUGUGCAGGAUAAUUAAUUGUACUUCAAAAUCAAAUUGGCAUUUCAAUAUGUUUUUGCAGAGCCUAGUUUCAAUUCCUUUGAAACAAAUUUCACAAAAUAGCAUCUACAUAAAUAGCAUUCAUUGAUUGGACACAGCUGAGUCUGUGAAUCAUGUCAGUCACCUCUCCCCUUAGGCAGACAGAGAACAUCUGUGCUGGAGUUUAUGAAAGAGUUUAUGUAGGACUGUAUUCACACCAUACAUUUAUUCCACUUUAAACAGUCAUGGUUUCCCCCAAAGAAUGCUGGGAAAUGUAGUUUGUGAACAGUGCCAAGAGUUUUUAGGAGACCCCUGUUCCCCUCAUAGAGCUACAAUUCUCAAAGUUCUCUGGAAGAGGAACUGUUAAACCACUCUAGAAAUUGUAGCUCUGUGAGAAUAGGAGUCUCCUAACGACACCCUUCACUAACUACAUUUCUCAGAAUUCUUGGAGGAAGCCAUGACUGUAUAAAAUGGAGUAAUAGUGGAAUAAAAUGUAUGGUGUGAAUAUAGAGGAUAGAGGUAUGUAACUCUUAGGGUUGCACACAGAAGGGGGGAAAAUCCCCUUGUUGAAUAUCACACAUCUCGUUGGCUCAGAUAUGGGUUUAAAAAUUUGAGGGGUUGUUUUUUUAAAAAAGAAGAAUAUUCUCCUAGGUAAGUUUUGUGGGCAAUUGCAUAAAAAUGACAAAUUAUAUAGUGGAACUCCUAGGUAAAUUCCUUGGAAAAUUUCAGAAGGAUAGACUCUGGGAUUAUAAGGUUAUGAUUUAAAAAAAACCAGUAUUUGAACCUAGUAGUUAUUUUGUUUUCUGGUGAAUUUGCACCAAAGCCGCAGCCUCCUAACAUCCCUUCUAGAAGCACUGUGUCUGGAAGAAAAGGAGAGCUCUGGUGAAGUCUUUCCAUGAUUGGAAGCUAGAGCUAUCAAUCAAAGAACUCCACCACCCUCCUCCCUCUGGCCAAUCUGCCUGGCAUUUUCCAUUUAUGGAGAACUUGGAGGAAGUUUCAAAAAUAUAACAAACAGUCAAAAACACCUUAGAAGCUGUCUCUGAAGCCUAACAGCCAGCCCACUUCUUCUCAGACUGCCUUGGAUUCUGAGGUGAUCCAAAUACUUGCACAGCAGGGAGUCUUGCCUUAGAUUGAUGCCUUGUCUGAGGUGAAUGCACAGCCCUAGUAACAGUGUGUAUAACGUAUUUUGUUUCCACUUUGUCAUUAAAAGAUUAUAAGGCCAGACGUGUAAGUAGUUAAGAGGGACAAAUUGUAGAAACAGCUAUAAUUUCAAGGUGGCUAUUUGAUAAAAUGCCCUCAUUUACAUGGUGAAAAGGCAUACUGUGGUAUUUUAUUCUUAUAACUGCAAUAAUAGAACUCUCCAUAUCAUUCCUUACAUAGUCUCUGUCUUCUUUUGCUUCCUUCGCAUGAACCCAUCAAUCCUAGUAGUUGAAAAGCUUUAAAAAGCCAAAGAAAACUUGCAACAGGUGGCAGCGCAUGUGUAAGUCUAAUUUCAGCCUUGAAAUAUUCCCCCCACCCACCAGGAUUCCAUUCUUGGAAAAGAGGAAUUCCAAACUGGAUCUGAUCAAAAGCAAUAUUCAAAGGGUGUGAAGGAUUUGCAACCUUCUACAUCCCAUCUGUUUUAUUUUAGCUCUUUCUCCAUUUUUGUAGUUGCUUCAACUGAAAGAAUAGAACCCAGUAUGGACAAAAGUUAGAUCAGCUUAAGCAUCAUCUUGGUCUUCUGACAGUGCAACCUAUGGGUAAUGCUGUGAAUAAUUCCUCUUGCAAAACCCACAGAAGUCACUGCUAUGUAUCUGGGGUGGGAUCAGCAUAUGGAAUCCACUUUGAAUUUUUUGUAGAUUUUGACCAUGAAAUGGCUCACAACAAAUUAAUGGAGAACCCACUUUGGGCCCCUACACAACAUUGACUGGCAGGCUCCAUGGUUCAGGCUGGCCGCACCCUGAGCAGCCAAUCAGCAGCCCCUGUUUACUUUCAGGGGCAAGGUCUAAAGGACCCACUCUUCCUCCCUUUAUUAAUGGUUUUCUUUGCUGUGGAUUGAGAUUAGCUCCUGGUUGACAGGGCUGGGAAGGAAUUUUACUCUCAGCCACAACUGGCCAUGGCACAAUGACAUUUUUUGCCUUCCCUACAGCAAUGAUUGUACACGGGUCAUAAGUAAGAUUUCACAACUUUAUUUGCAAGCAAGGGAGUUUUCCUUCACUUGUGUUCAGCCAUUUCCCAGCUUGCUUCAUUGGCCUUAACUCUGUUGUUUAGUAUGGAGCAAAUUGGGCUCUGCCAAGCAGAAGAGGAUAUUCAGAAGUGAUUGAGUUGACUGCCUGGGUCAUCCACUCAUUCCACUUAUUGACCAAGGCUUUGACAGAACCGACAGUCAUAAGAGCCAGAAAUUCCCCCAGAAUCAUCUGGAAAUAAAUUGGAUGCAUCAGAAUCCAAGGGCAGACCAUUCUAAUAGAUCCCCCACCCCUGAGGAGGAUAAAAGAUGCUGAAGGUGAUCAGAAGGUGAUCUAGCCACAAGAAGGCAGAGUGUUGCUUGCCACAUGCACAAGGCCAACUGCAUGCUGGGACAGCUCCAUAGUUGUUGUGGUGGCCGUGAAGCCCUGAGUUGUCCCAGAAAGGAGGCCUCAGCACCUUCCAUCAGCUCAGGCAGGGAGACUGCUGGGCAGUAAGACGAGCAGUAAACCAGCAGAGACUCUAAUCCAUUCUGACUGCCCAACACAAGGCACAAAGACCAGAUUCCCACUCAGUUGGACAGGAAUCCUGGAGAGAGAUUGAAUUCCUAUAGAUCACAGUGACUCCCUCCUCCCUGAUCCUCAUGACUGCACUGAUACUGCACCAAGUACCCUGGUGGGCACAGCUGGGAGACACCAGCUCUGCCCUGCUCAUCCACUCACAUUUCAGUAAGACACAUCAGGUCAGCCUCAUCAUCCACGAUCAAAUCAUGAAUGAGGAACAUCUUAUUUAAAACCAACCUGGCAAAGCAUCUGAUCCCUAAGGGUGGUGAUUGAUAGGGCAACCACAAUUUCUCUAGCUAGAGAAGAGGCUGGCACACAGCACAGUCACCAACUGUGAGUGUCACAUCCCCUUCGGAUGGCUUGUCUCUCUUCUCACACCAUACCUCCCCUUACUCUGUAUGAGGACAAGACCUGAAAAAUGUCCUUAGGGACAGAAUUCCAUUAUUUUCCCAUCACCAAUGAAAAGGUUAGUUCCUCCAAAAUAUUUCCUGAGAUUAGCUUAACCCAGCUAAGGACCAUUGCCCUACUUCCUCUUCUUCCCUCCCCCUGGCAGCACCCUUCAGUCAAAACUGCAAAGCAUGCUUCAAUCCAUGAGAAAAAGUUCUAGACAUUUUUUUCCCUGUGGGUGGUGGCAGAGGCAGGGAGGCAUAUGCUUGCUCCACUGCUUCUCCAAUUCUGCUGCUUAAGCCAAAGAGCUAAUCUUCACUCAUGGUAGGGCCAGACCUGUCUUAACCACCAAGAUGGCUCAGAUGGAAAAGGAAUUACGACAGACGUCACCAACCUUUUUUGAAUCCAGGGUUGCAUUUGAAACAUGAAGAAACACAUGCAUGCGCACACGCACGCACAGACAGAGCGCUAAGUACACAUUGUACCUAUUCUGUUGGCUACAAUGGAUUCCUUUCAAGCCUAAUUUCAUCUGGGAGAUGGGACUCUGUGGACACUAAGGAAGGACCUUUGGACACAUGUGUGCCCAUGGGCACCAUAUUGUUGAUUUCUGUACUAAGAUGACUGCAGAAGAAAAAAGAAUAUUGCAAUGCUAUAACAAUUUCCACGUAUAUUAGGAGAUACAACAUAGCAGAAACCAUAAACCUGUUGAGGUUAAAGACCCCCUAUAUAAGGCAUGUGAGGAGAGGUUUCUGAAGUUAAAGCCCUCGUCCUCAAUAUGUGUUUGGUAUAAUACAAUGCAAUGCAUGCCCCUGCAUGAACUACAUGGAUGAAACCAUUCAGGAAUUGAUAUUCCAAAUGCUUUCACCUACAAAAAUUAUAAUGGACAAGAGCAGUAGAUCAUGAGGAUAGGUAACCUUUGUUGGCCUACAAAUCCUGACCAUUGGCUAUGCAGGCUGAGGCUGAUGGGAACUGGAGUCCAAAAACAUCUGGAGGGCCACAAGUUCUUGGU